GGUUUGGUAGUUCAGUUGGUUAGAAUGCCGCCCUGUCACGGCGGAGGUCGCGGGUUCGAGUCCCGUCCAGACCGC
rnacentral:tRNA from 1 species